UACGUAGGCAGCAAGCGUUGUUCGGAGUUACUGGGCGUAAAGGGUGCGUAGGCGGUUGCUUAAGUUUGGUGUGAAAUCUCCCGGCUCAACUGGGAGGGUGCGCCGAAUACUGAGUGGACUAGAGUGCGGGAGAGGAAAGUGGAAUUCCUGGUGUAGCGGUGAAAUGCGUAGAUAUCAGGAGGACACCGGUGGUGUAGACGGCUUUCUGGACCGUAACUGACGCUGGAGGAACGGAAGACAUGGGGAGCGAACAGG
rnacentral:rRNA from 1 species